rnacentral:rRNA from 1 species
UACGGAGGAUGCGAGCGUUAUCCGGAUUUAUUGGGUUUAAAGGGUGCGUAGGCGGUCCGUUAAGUCAGCGGUAAAAUUGCGGGGCUCAACCCCGUCGAGCCGUUGAAACUGUCAGGCUUGAGUUGGCGAGAAGUACGCGGAAUGCGCGGUGUAGCGGUGAAAUGCAUAGAUAUCGCGCAGAACUCCGAUUGCGAAGGCAGCGUACCGGCGCCACACUGACGCUGAGGCACGAAAGCGUGGGGAUCGAACAGG